AAAUUUCAAAAAGGCCAGAGUGGGGUCCAUAGAAGAGCAGAAGCAAUGAGUUGGAAGGACUUCUGUGCACCUCUAUUAGUCCCACUGCAUGGAAUCCUUAGGGUUUUUUUCUCAUCCAAGAAUCUAAGAAGAGUCCAUAAAGAAGGCUGACAACAAAUGAAUGGAGAAAACACAAGCCCCAAAGCCUGCAGCACAGCCAGGGACCCUCUGUGAGCUGAGUCUGUGAGUUAGGGACCAGCUCUCUUCUCCAUGAAGCCUGCCCUGAUUCUCCCCAGAGGGAAGGCUGGCCCCCUUUUCCAAACUCCCACUACAUUUUGUCCAAACGAUGUUGGAAGCCACUGGGACUCCCCAAGAACAAUAUCCAAGUUGAAGACACCUUUUGCCACCCCCGCCAGUGGACAUGGAAGGAGUGCCGCACACACCCGCCCUGAAUGCAGAAGCAGCAGAGUUCACCCCAAGGAUUUCACCAAGCACUAGUGUUCCUUGUUUUGCUUGUUUUUGAUGCCUAAAGAGCCAACAAGUGACUAACAGACUGUUGUUCAUGGAUUGUCUAAAGUCAGCCUUCUAAUAGCACCCGAAGGGCUCCUCAUGCUGGUGCAACCCCGCUGCCACUGCUCCUGAGCCUAUGUUCCCUUCUCUCCACCAUGCACCUUCUGACAUCAUGACUCACUGGAGAACCAGGCCAGGAUCCCAACCACCCCGUGUCUCAGUGGGCCUGGGCGGGAGCCCUGUGCUGCCAGGAGGAGCAGAGAUAACAUUGAUUGUCCAGAAGCUCUACGAUGGAGACAGGUUGUCAUUGGAAGUCCAACAAGAGACAGAGGCAAGUGAGCUUUAUGGAGCACCUACUGUGUGCCAGGCCCCAUGCAACGGGCUUCUGUGGAGGCCUGCCCCUGCCAUCUUCACAACCCUCAGGUGAGCCAGCUUUAGCUUUACAUUUUAUAGAUGAAAAAAGCUGAGAGUUGAUGAGACUAAGAUACUAUUUGUGAGACCAAAAGAAAGAGGAAAAUCUCAUUUAAUCUCCAGGAUUUGUUAAAUUAGGCAAAGACAAGAAGGAACUUUUAUGUGAGGACAGACUGAAGUCCUGGCAUUUUCCAGCUCAGAAAGUCUGAGAAAGGAUAUGCUCAAGAACUAUCACAUGAAGGAAGAGCUCCUGCUUGACCGUGAGCUGGGCCGUCAAAUCCCACAUCCUCAUGGGGACUCGAUGCAGCCUGGAUAGCAGGGUGGUAAGACUCUCUGCUUCCUGAGCACAGGGUCUACCCUCCUCUUGUGAACUCUGUGUCCUUCACCAAGUCAUUGAACCUCCAUCUGCUUCCUCACCUGUUUAAGAAAGGAUGAUCGUAAUAGGACCCACAUCAUAGGGUUUUGUUAAGGGCUAAAAGAAAAAUAUGUAAAGCGCCUUGCCGAGUGCCUGGUACUACAGUAAGGAUUUGAUAAAUAUUAGCUGUUACAGUAAUUAGGAGUCAUAUUUUAUACCCUACAAGAGGCAUUUGUAGAUCAAAAGAAAUCUCACAUUACAGGGUGGGAAGUAAACUCACUAAACAUAGCCCCAAGGGUGGCACAAACGGAAAAUAUAAAUAGAAUAAAAAAGGGUUAGAUCACGAAUGGGUAACCUUUUCUCUACCAUAAGCCAGUGACACACAGGGGCAAAAAGAAAAUCCAUUUCUGGCCCCAUGUAAGUCAAAGAAGCCAUUAUAGGCUGUGAAGGGAAUUCAAUUAGUCACUGGUUGCCAUGCCAAUGCAAACAUCACCCUUCCACCUACUCUACCAUCAACACAUUUGAAUAAGUAACAAUGAUAAUAGCAUGCACUAAAAAUGCUAUUUUUAAAAAAGUUACAUGUGCUUCUUUCAAAAGUCUGGUUUUCAGAAAUAAUUGCUAUAGUCCAGAUGAGAAUUCACAUGGAAUCCCUAAAAUGGGUUGAGUAUCAUCAGAGAAGAGACAUCUGUAGAUUAUUAAGGGACUCUUAGGGUUUGGAGUUGAUUUUCUUGUGGGGGAGGGGAAAUUUUUUCAACAUUCCAAGCUUGAUCAAGCAACCCUUCAUGGUGUCAGAAAUUGAGCUCAGACAGUCCCUUGCUCAGCACUGCUCUCCUCACACCCUGAAGCCUGACCUGGAUCCCUGGUUUCAUUAUGCCUUCUUCAAGCUUUGCUUGAGUAUCUACAAUUUGGCAAUGUGUACCUAAAACUUAAAAAAAUACUUUGAUCUAAGAAUUUACUUAAAAAAAUACUUUGACCUCAGAAUCAAUCCUAAGAAAACCAAUACUGAUAUACAGAAUUUAUAGGAGCAAAAAUAAAAGUAAAGAACAGAAAUAACCAAAAUGUCCAAAUUAAAUUGUUAUACAUCCAUAUGCUAGAAUAUGAUGAGCUAUUAAAAAUGAGGCUGUCAUAAAAAUGAAUGAGAUCAUGUCCUUUGCAGGCACAUGGAUGGA
rnacentral:lncRNA from 1 species